rnacentral:rRNA from 1 species
GGGGGAUAUUGCACAAUGGGGGAAACCCUGAUGCAGCAAUGCCGCGUGAGGGAAGAAGGUCUUCGGAUUGUAAACCUAAGUAGCCAGGGACGAUAAUGACGGUACCUGGAGAGUAAGCUCCGGCUAACUACGUGCCAGCAGCCGCGGUAAUACGUAGGGAGCGAGCGUUGUCCGGAUUUACUGGGUGUAAAGGGUGCGUAGGCGGGAUGGCAAGUCAGAUGUGAAAUACCGGGGCUUAACCCCGGGGCUGCAUUUGAAACUGUCGUUCUUGAGUGAAGUAGAGGCAGGCGGAAUUCCUAGUGUAGCGGUGAAAUGCGUAGAUAUUAGGAGGAACACCAGUGGCGAAGGCGGCCUGCUGGGCUUUAACUGACGCUGAGGCACGAAAGCAUGGGGAGCAAACAGGAUUAGAUACCCUGGUAGUCCAUGCCGUAAACGAUGAUUGCUAGGUGUGGGGGGACUGACCCCUUCCGUGCCGGAGUAAACACAAUAAGCAAUCCACCUGGGGAGUACGGCCGCAAGGCUGAAACUCAAAGGAAUUGACGGGGGCCCGCACAAGCAGUGGAGUAUGUGGUUUAAUUCGAAGCAACGCGAAGAACCUUACCAGGUCUUGACAUCCAACUAACGAGGCAGAGAUGCGUUAGGUGCCCUUCGGGGAAAGUUGAGACAGGUGGUGCAUGGUUGUCGUCAGCUCGUGUCGUGAGAUGUUGGGUUAAGUCCCGCAACGAGCGCAACCCUUGUCAUUAGUUGCUACGCGAGAGCACUCUAAUGAGACUGCCGUUGACAAAACGGAGGAAGGUGGGGACGACGUCAAAUCAUCAUGCCCCUUAUGACCUGGGCUACACACGUACUACAAUGGCCAUUAACAGAGGGAAGCAAGACCGCGAGGUGGAGCAAAACCCCAAAAAUGGUCCCAGUUCAGAUUGUAGGCUGCAACUCGCCUAUAUGAAGUCGGAAUUGCUAGUAAUCGCGGAUCAGCAUGCCGCGGUGAAUACGUUCCCG